GGGGAAUAUUGGGCAAUGGGCGAAAGCCUGACCCAGCAACGCCGCGUGAGGGAAGAAGGUCUUCGGAUUGUAAACCUCUGUCCUUGGAGACGAAGGAAGUGACGGUAACCAAGGAGGAAGCCCCGGCUAACUACGUGCCAGCAGCCGCGGUAAUACGUAGGGGGCGAGCGUUGUCCGGAAUUACUGGGCGUAAAGGGUGCGUAGGCGGCAAUUUAAGUUGGAUGUGAAAUACCCGGGCUUAACCUGGGGGGUGCAUUCAAAACUGGAUAGCUAGAGUACAGGAGAGGGAAGCGGAAUUCCUAGUGUAGCGGUGAAAUGCGUAGAUAUUAGGAGGAACACCGGUGGCGAAGGCGGCUUUCUGGACUGAAACUGACGCUGAGGCACGAAAGCGUGGGGAGCAAAC
rnacentral:rRNA from 1 species